ensembl:lincRNA
AUGACUUUUGUCGUUUUCAACCUAAACCAAUUUUUGUCUAUUUCAAAUGCAUCUGAUGAAGCACCCUCCACAGACCAAGGUACUGAAGACCCCAAGACUGUUCACCUCUUCUCAGCUGAGUUCGUUGCUUCCCUGCCGCUGCCCCCUACUUGCCCGCUGAUGAGAUGGUUAAAGCGCAUGUCUGCUGCUGCUGCUAAGUCACUUCAGUUGUUUCCGACUCUGCGCGACCCCAUAGAUGGCAGCCCACCAGGCUCCCCCGUCCCUGGGAUUCUCCAGGCAAGAACGUCUAGGUAUGAUUUAUUGCGUUGUCUCCCCAGACAGGUUUUCUCUCUUUUUCUUGCUUGGCAUGCCGCCCUAUUUCCUCUUGAUUUCCUCCCUUCUGCAGGGGGAUCAGACCAUCUGAGCCCUAAGGCCGUGCCAUGGUGUCAUAGAGAGCUGUUCUCCACCUUCUAUCUCCUCUCGUCCUCAGUGUUCCUGGCACUGCAGCAGCGCUUGGACCCUCCGACACCCUCCACUCGCCCAGCAGCUCAGCUCUUGGGGGUCGGUGGUGACUGGCUCCUGAGCUUGCUGAGAGGCAGGGGCAGUGACGAGCCCCCCGCAUUUUGCAGCCUCACGUCCCCUCCAGUCCACCCGGAGCCAGGCCCGGGUACAGAGGCCCCGGGCGCCAGGUGCUGGCUCUUGGGUCCCUGCCAGGAGGCGCCGCGCGUCCGCAGGUGCCCACUCAGUGAUUUCUCUGGUUCACUAGUGUCCAGUGAUGGGAACACGGCGGGCCGUCAGGGCCUGAAACAGGCUAGAAACAGGCCCUGGAGGACGAAGGAGAGGCUCCUCAGGCCCCGCUGCCCGCAGGAGGGAGAGGAGGCCUCCCGGGACCUCAGUUCCAGGACAAUGAGGCUCCUCCGUGUCUUCCUCACCGCUCUCUCGAUCCUCUUCCAGAUAGCACUAGGGCGCUCAAUUUUGAAAGACCCUGCUAUCUUCGGGGUGGAAUCUGCCUGAAGCAAGGGACGCCGAGCUGUGAGCCCUUCAGAGGACCUUGCGGGCAUUCACCGUUUGCUGCAAAAUAAAGCCGAGCUGAUGGAGGCAGCCCAGCUGAGGAACCUGGCGAGAGACCCAGAGCAAUCUCCUCUUGUGCUAAUAAAAGCAGACAGUUCUCACAUCUACACAAUCAACUAUUUUAUCAUUAGGACUGAUUAAAGUUGUUUCCAGGGUAGGCAGGGUAGGCAAUGGGAGGGAAACAGUUAUAAGAAUUAAAUUUAUAUUAUGCUUUAAAUGUUGCAAAGUGUUUCAUUCACAGAGCAAAUGUGACCCUUAGGCCACUUUGGCCCGAGGCUGGAGUCCUGAGAGAGGUGCGCUCAUUUGGUGUCUUCCUUGUUCACUUGUCUUGUCCAAGGCAUGGCCCCUGCUGUAGUUUGCUGAGUAGGCCGCCUCUCCAUACAGGUGUCACUCUCCUCCCUCUGGGGAGGGAGCAGGCCUUGACAGGAUCACAGCUUUCUGCAGUUUACAGAGCAGGUUUAGGGCGGGAGGAUGGAGACAGGAUGCAAGGUGCCCAGGAAGCGGGGGACAAAGAGAAGGACAAGAGACACGAGUGUUUUUCCAAAACCUGAACAAUCUCACGGGAAAGAAAGAGUGUGACUGGCAUUGCGGCGAUGUGACGAGGACCAGUUCUAUAACUGGGUCCCAAUCAGUGAAUAAUUAAAGAUAAUUCAGAGCAGGCUUGCAGAUGAACAAUGGGCAAUGACCAGUGUACAUCCGUGUCUGUAAAGAUAUCCAGAAACAGAUACAAAUGUAGUUUCUCCAACUGUUCUCCCUGUAUGGUCUGCCGGCCGAGGUCAUCACAGAACUUUGAGUAUGCCUUGUGUCUGCGAUGUUGGCCCACUGUAUGCUCUAUCAGAACAGCUUAUCUUCCAUUACUGGAACGGGCUUCUAAUUUUUCCAUAAAACAAAUAAUGCAUACUGACUCUUUACAAAAUAUCCUGAGUCUAAAAAUUAUAUUUAACACCCCAUUAUAAUCCAGUUCAUGCUUCCUUUAAAGCAUAAAAUAGUUUUUCUCCAAAUAGAUCAUCAAUCAGCUCUGCAUGAUUUAUUAAAGGAACAGCUCGCUUCCCCUCCUCCCCCUGCCCCUGCCACUCAUGUAAAGGUCACUUUUUAUCAUAAACUAGCUGUCAGUGUCUGCAUAGUCUGUUUGUGACUGCUGUUUUUUGUCUCAGGGAUUCUUUUUUAAUUCCUCUGCCAAUGCCACGUAUUUUGAGCCUAGCCAUCAUCAUAGAUUGUAGAACUGGUAGUGAAAGUCACCAUGUUGCUCUUUAUAAACAAUUUUAUAUAUUCUUGCACACAUUUUCCUUUUACAAGGAAUU